GUGGAUUAGAUACCCUGGUAGUCCACGCCGUAAACGAUGAAUGCUAGCCGUUGGGCAGCUUGCUGUUCAGUGGCGCAGCUAACGCAUUAAGCAUUCCGCCUGGGGAGUACGGCGGCAAGGUUGAAACUCAAAGGAAUUGACGGGGGCCCGCACAAGCGGUGGAGCAUGUGGUUUAAUUCGACGCAACGCGCAGAACCUUACCAGGGUUUGACAUCCUGCGACCGCUCCCUAAUAGGAGUUUUCCCGCAAGGGACGCAGAGACAGGUGCUGCACGGUCGUCGUCAACU
rnacentral:rRNA from 1 species